rnacentral:lncRNA from 1 species
UGGUCCCCAGCAAUAAACCUAAUAUGGGACUCACUUCUUAAUAAUUCAAUUGUUUACAUAAACCUAGGUUCAAUCGACCAGCUUCCACUCUUUCCUCUUUAUUUUAAAGAGCUAGGCUGUUUGGAUAAGAGUUUCUGUUGACCUAAAACUUUCAGUUGAUAGUCAACAUGAUGAGAAUCCAGGUAAUUGAGCCGGCAUUACUCCAGCACAAGCCGGCUCUUGCUCUCCUAAGCAAGGAAUCGGCAUCUCAUAGGCUAAUGCACAUAACAUCUUUAACUGCUCUUAAUUGUGUAUAGUAUAAUUGUUGC